UUGGUAUUUGGUACAGAGUUGCAAACCCCAUGCUGUCUACCCAGAUGACAACUGAUUCCAUUUAAGAAAAUUUAGCAGCAAAGAGCCAAGAUCGCCAUGGAGCUUGUUGAUCAUCAUAACCAUGUAUGAAUUGAAUAAAUACAAGGAACUUACUUUAAGGAAGUAGCUAAACUUUACUCCUUCCAUUCACUUCUACUUGUCACAUUUCACUUCUCAAAACUCAAUUUGACUAAUGUUCGUUGCUAAAUUGAAUUAGAUUAAUCCAAUACUUCAAAAUGAAAAUUUAAAUACGUUGCAAUUCUUCUCAUUGUUAUGUGUGUUAGUAGCUAUAGUCCUAGCUUUAUUUCAAUGUGUUAGUAUCAUUGUUGUACUCCCUCCGUUUCAUAAUAAAUGCAUUGUUGGACUUUGGCACACAUUUUAAGAAAAAGAAUCAAAGACAUAAAUUUAACAUAAUUUUCCAUUUUUACCCUUGUUCAAAGUAAAGAAUCAUAUAUAUUUUAUUCUUUUUCAAUUGAUGGUCUCUUGGUUGUCAAAUCCUCAAGGGUAAAUUUGAAAAAAAAAUUCAAUGAUUCACUUAUUUUGGAACACCAAAAAUACUCCAACAAUUCAUUUAUUAUGAAACGGAGGGAGUAUUACUUGGUGAGAUUGUUUAUGAUAUUGUUGGUGUGGUAAUUUCUAUUGUAUCUUGUCCUUUUACUAGUCAGUCCUUGAGUCUUUUUAGCUUCCUUAUCUAUACUCAGAAGGUUUAAGCCAUUGUAUUAACGUACAUUUGGAUGUUCUGUUUGGGCCAGAGACAAGUAGUGGAGGUAAAUGGUGAUGGAUUUUCUGUAACUUAGAGUUAAACGUUAAUAAAUGGCUCUGAUAAAAGCUGCAGCCAAUCUCACUUUCUUUGUAUUCCGCUUCCUUUUUUGUUUUCCCUAAUUUGUUUUUAGAUAUCUUAUUUUGUUUAAAUACCAUAUAGUUUAUGUGGUUGAAUCAUAUUUUUAAUCAUCAUUCUGUUAAAGCAAUAGAAGCAGAGGUAAAACUCUUACCACAUUGUCCUGGUCUCUUGGGUUGGUUUUUCUAUGUAUCCAGUGACUCUGGAUGGUUGUUAAGUCUUUUGUUUUGUUACUGAAUUGAAAAUGUUGUUGCUUAUGCAUUUUCUUUUGUAAACUACUUGUAAAGCUUUCAGAUGUUGACGAUACAGAUACCUUUUUAAUAUACUUGGUAUCAAUUCUUUCUUCUUAAUGUUCCGAGUUAUAUGUGGUACGUUUGUUUACCUUGCAAAAGUUUUACUAUUCAUUUCCGCUUUUAAUGUUCUCUUUUUUCAGCAUUUUCCUUCCAAUUGAUCUCAUGAACUAGUUAGUGUUGCAUUUUCUUCUUCUUCUGAUUGUUGAGAUUCAUUCAGAAAAAUAUGUGAUUGUUGUUACAAACGACAGCUGUAGCAGCUAUAAUCGUAGAACAUUUAUUAUACCAAGCUUGCGUACUAGGAACUCUUAGGUAGCCGCUUUGUCAAUUUAUCUGCCAGCUGGUUGUUGGUGAUCAAGCCAUCUUGAAUCUUCUGUCUAAUAAAGUGAUGUGCAACUGGAAGUGCAGCUUUGAAUCUCACUGUAUACAAAUCACUGGAUUAAUCAUUUCAUGCAGUCUGCAUCACACAACACUAUUAAUGUAUUUGACACUGCAAUACUUAGUAAAAUCCUAGUGCUGCUUCUCUAUUUACAUAUCUCAUCACCCUUGUGUUGCAUUCCAGUGGGAUCUCUUGGAUUGCUGCAAAAAUUGACCAGUCUACAUACAAGACCAGGAUUUUGUUAUGACAUUUGUGGCUAAUAUAGUGACAUCUGGUCACUUCAUACCUUUACAUUUUUUAAUAGUUUGCAAAUGUUUCUUCUUCUUUCCUUCUGGUUUCUUAUGUUAGUUAGUGCUUCAUUGCCUUUUCAGGUAUCUGAUUCGUAAACCUUGUACUCCAAGACUAUAGAUAGAUUGCCCUAUCCGCAUAAAAGGAAGUGAGGAAUUGUUGUACAAGCUGUUUUCAGUUAAGGCUUGGGCUGAAAGAGUAAGGAAAUGUGUGUCUGAGACUUCUGCUAGAGUUGAGGCAGAUAUUCUCAAGGAGGUGAUCUGUUUGUCUUUGCUUAAUUGCUUUCAAUGAUGCUGGCUACCGUUUUGGUAUUAUUUGUUUUGUGCUUAUUCUAUUGCUUUUUUGGGUUUACAGAGUUUAAGUCUUCAAGUGAAACUUCCUAUAUUUAAUUAGACAAGUUGAAUGGUGUCAAUCUCAGUGGUAGGAGAUGUUGAAAGGGUCUCUCAGUGUCAAGGUUGUUCCUACCUUGUCAUGAAUUGGAAAGUGUUGAUGGAAGUAGAACAUUGCAUAAAUGAUACACUUUAUGUUGUACAGGAACUUGAAUCGAUUCUCAACAGAUGAGAUGGUUUUGCAGUUAAUAUUUCAGAGUUUGAAUUUCUGAGACUAUCAUAAAGAUACUCUAUCUUGGAUAGGACGUGCUAAUAAUAUUCUAUUGUGCAUCAGCGAAAGGGGGGAUCAAGAAACUGUAGCUCAUGAGUUAACUUGCAUUCAAAAGGAUGCAUCAUUGCUUAGAGUUAAAGUUGAGGAGCUUCCUUGUGCGGAUAUUGAGCUAAAGAAGACUCGCUGUAGGGUAAAAGCUCUGAAGCUUUGACUCACAAUCUCUAGUUCCACACAAAAUUCUUCUCUCGAAGCCCCGGAGUAAUUGGUUUUGCUGGAUUCAUGUGGCCAGCACCAAUAGCAAACACAUCAGCACAAAGUUCCUUUUCAUCGAGGAUGGGCCGACCCUCACGGUUGGAUUGAUCAGCUAUAGUCAUAAUGACAGUGAUUGUUGUUAUCUAUCAUUCUGCCAUAAUCUCGUAUAUUAUUAAUGUGUGCCACUAUAAAUAUGCUCCAACACAAAACACUGAAAAACUUAUGCAUUCUCAUUGUUUAUGUUGCAGAUCAUUAUGCCAAGAUUGGGUUGGAAGUGAUUACUGGCUUUAUCAUCCAUACCAUCAUUCGCAACACUUUUUUUUGUUUGUAUUUACAGUUGAAUCUCCAAGAUAUCUGUGUGCCAUAGUUGUGAUGAAUAAGACACCUUCCUCCUGGAAGUUUCUCUUCUCAUCUUUACUGUUGAUUUUCUGUAUACUUCAACAUAGGUGGCCGAUAGUUUAGAUGAUGUGAGAGGUGGUUACAAGGCUGGGGUUGUCCAGCACUUGUUUUUCUUUCUUGCUAUGUACAUUAGCCCUUGGAGGAAAUGUGGACACGGGUGAGAAGUGGCUUGGCAAUGCUAGUAUGCUGCAGAGUACAGAUGUUAAAGGAGUUACCCGUGCCAAAGGGCGAUGUCUUAGAAAGAGCCAUGGAGUCAACAUAAUCCAGCAACUUCAAGAGAAGAAUUUUGUGCAGAGACCUUCAGUCCAACAAGAUGUGGACACUGUUAGAGAUAGAGCACAACCACAAUCAAUGGGUGGGAACACACAUAAUUCCUCCCUGGAGCAAGAGGUGCAAGUUCCGAUAACUGGGUACUUCAAAAACUUUUCAAGGCUAAAACUAUCUCGUGGAAGCUGGUUACUCCUUCCAAGAUAUGCAACAGCUUAAAUAGAAGAGUGAAGCAGAACGUUGUUGUAUGCAGUGAAGCAAAUGCUAUGAUAUGGAUGAACUCCUCAGAGGAAGUGAGAUGGGUUGUAGCAAAUUGUCCAAGUCCAAAAGCUAAGUUGCUUCGAAUGAGUUUAGCUGCUACCGUAUACUUUACAUGCAGGAACUAAACUUCAGAAUUUUUCAAUUUAAAACUAGAAGACCUGAAGAUAUCGCUACACAAAUUGUUCAGGAAGUGCAUUGUAGAGUAUAGAUGCCCAAGCUAGCUAACAGGUUGAUGCAGUUGAAUUUUUAUCCUUAGUACUGCAACAUUUCUGUAUACUGCAGCAUGGGUGAGGUAAUAGGUGGCUACAAGGCUGGGAUUGUCCAACACUUGUUUUUUCUUUUUUGCUCUGUACAUUGGCCCUUGGUAAAUGAAUCUGUUUUGUUACCAAAAAAUCAAUUCCUUUUCUGGUGA